rnacentral:misc_RNA from 1 species
GGAAGUAGAAGUCGUAACAAGGUUUCCGUAGGUGAACCUGCGGAAGGAUCAUUAUUGUAUAACCGAGGUGCGAGGGCUGUCGCUGACCCGAAAGGUCGUGCACGCCCGAGUGCCCUCACACAUCCAUCUCACCCCUAUGUGCACCACCGCGUGGGUCCCCCUUUGGCUUGUUCGGAGGGGGGCUUACGUUUUCACACAAACUUUGUAUGCAGUGUAGAAUGUAUUUUUUGUUUUUGCGAUCACGCAAUCAAUACAACUUUCAACAACGGAUCUCUUGGCUCUC